CUACGGGGCGCUGCAGUGAGGAAUAUUGCACAAUGGGGGGAACCCUGAUGCAGCAACGCCGCGUGGAGGAUGACGCAUUUCGGUGUGUAAACUCCUUUUAUAUGUCAAGAAAAUGACGGUAGCAUAUGAAUAAGCACCGGCUAACUCCGUGCCAGCAGCCGCGGUAAUACGGAGGGUGCAAGCGUUACUCGGAAUCACUGGGCGUAAAGGACGCGUAGGCGGGUUGGAAAGUCAGGUGUGAAAUCCUACAGCUUAACAGUAGAACUGCACUUGAAACUUCUAAACUAGAGUAUGGGAGGGGGAGAUGGAAUUAGUGGUGUAGGGGUAAAAUCCGUAGAUAUCACUAGGAAUACCUAAAGCGAAGGCGAUCUCCUGGAACAUUACUGACGCUAAUGCGUGAAAGCGUGGGGAGCAAACAGGAUUAGAUACCCUCGUAGUC
rnacentral:rRNA from 1 species